rnacentral:lncRNA from 1 species
GCACCAGGACAAGAGAACUGAGCAAGUGUGCUUUGCUCAACAAGGAAUCCCCGCAACCAAUGAGAGAUACACACAAGCAUAAUCUGCACGAAAGACAUGGAUAGUAGUGGAAAAUUGGGUAUGAACCAAGGCGGCAAACAUCUUAUAGAUAGAUAAGACCUCACUACAAGAAGGCAUAAAAUAUAUCGACUUGUGUUGAGAGAAAUAAUUGUAAAGAUAAUAUAGUGGCGAUGGCCUCCUUUCGAGGCGAAGAGAGCUGGGUCCCAAAUAUUAGAGUGAACAAGAUUGAAAGGACACCGAGACACAAUCUCGCUAUGAGGAUACGGUAACUAAACGUGUUUACCUAGCAGACAAACUUGUCCUUCUAAAGUUACAUUGCGAGACAGAUCCUAGAAUACCACAUCGUUCUAAGGAUGAGAGAUUAGAGCCACACAUGUGACUGAGACGAUGACGCCACAAAGAGUCGGUAGACAAGGUAAGAGAGUCGAAGAGACUGGCGGAUGUGGUAGCGGAGGGAAGGCGUAGCCUGGCAAGCUUCAGUGGCCGUGUGAGUCACAGCGUCGAGGGCCAACACCAAGUAGAGCAGCCGUGUGCCGAUCCUAAAUUAGAACAAGAGUUAAAGUCAAGAAUAUUGGAGUAAGAGAAAUAUUGUUUGUGUCAGGUUCAAUGAUACAUUUGCUUGGAUUCCAGGACAGAGUUAAAGUUGAGAUUGGGCACUUGGAUUUGUGACAUUUUGACAUGAGCUUGAAACUGGAGAACUUUAGGGUGUAGCAUGAUGAACCUGAGAUAUAUUGAAUUUAUAUAGGUAUACUAUGAUUAGCAUGAAUGCGGUAUUUGUGGACUAUUAGAUCAUCUUGGAUAUUACUAGUUGGAUUCUAGGUUAGAGAUAACUUGAGCAGUUGGAUUUGUGAUAUUUUGACCUAAGCUUAGUAGCUUGCAUGCAGAUGAUACGAUCGUAGUUGGUAGACCGUGAUGAUUUUGCUAACCCUCCCCAAGAAUGUUACCAGUACAAGAUCAUCAUGGGAGGAUGAUUUGGAUUAAUUAGAAUAGAUGACAAUUUCAGUGGUAUGAGCCUUGUUGGAGCAGCUGAUGUUGCUUUUAUUAUGUUUUUGUGCUCCUUUAGAUGCAGUAGUAGAAGGGUAGGACUUAUGAAGUGAUACUAUAUUGGUGGAUAAAUAGAUCUUUAAUAACCUUGAAACUGGAGAACUUUAGGGCAGGACCUAUGAAGUUUGGAUUUACUUACAUGACUGUGAUCUCUUGAAAAAAAUUUGGUGGAUAGAUAACUUCUAAUUUUUUGGAUCUAUAGUCAUCCAGUGGAAGCUUGCUUCAUACUGGACUUAGAUAACCAUGAUAAUAGGCUUGGUUGAAUCAUAGUUAUGAUUUGUACUAGAUGCACACUUUUAGAGAUUGAAACUAGAGAAAUAUAGGGUGUAGUAUGAUCAAUCGGAGAUAUAUUGGAUUUAAUAUGAAUAUAAUAUGAUCAGCAUGAUUCUAAAAAUUGAUGGAGGAAAACAAAGAUAUUGGAGUAAUAGAAAUGUUGUUUGUGUUAGGUUCAAUGAUAUAUCUGCUUGGAUUCUAGUUCUAGGUCGGAUUUAAACUUGAGAUUGGGCACUUGGAUUUGUAAUAUUUUGACACGAGCUUUAAAACUGGAGAACUUCAGGGUGUAGCUUGAUCAACCUGAGAUGUAUUGAAUUUAUAUAGGUAUAGUAUGAUUAGCAUGAAUGCAGUAUUGAUGGACUAUUGUAUGAUCUUGGAUAUUACUAGUUGGAUUUUAGGUUGGAGAUAACAUGAGCACCUGGAUUUGUGAUAUUUUGACCUAAGCUUAGUAGCUUGUAUGCGCCCCAUAUGGAUAUGAGCAUGGAGAGGAUACAAACGGAUUGUAGUUUGCAGACUUUGAUGAUUUUGCUAGCCCUCCCCAAGAAUGUUACGAGUACAAGAUCAUCAUUGGAGGAUGAUUUGGAUUAAUUAGAAUAGAUGAUAAUUUUAGUCGUAUGAGCCUUGUUGGAGCAGCUGAUCUUACUUUUAUUAUGUGUUUGUGCUCCUUUAGAUGCAGUAGGAGGCUAGUAGUUAUGACGUGAUAUUAUAUUGGUGGAUAAGUACAUCUUUAACAACGUUGGAACAAUUUGGAUUUACUUAGAUGAUUGUGAUCUUGAAAACAAAUCUGGUGGGUAAAUAACUUCUAAUAUUUGGAUCUAUAGUAAUCCAGUGGAGGCGAAGGAAGUUGGAGAGGGCCGAUGAGAAAGCACAUGAGAAGCUUUACUCGAUCUCCUGAAGAUCGACAUUGCCGCACGGCUUGGCGCAAAGC